rnacentral:rRNA from 1 species
UGGGGAAUAUUGGACAAUGGGCGCAAGCCUGAUCCAGCCAUGCCGCGUGGGUGAUGAAGGCCCUAGGGUUGUAAAGCCCUUUCGGCGGGGGAAGAUAAUGACGGUACCCGCAGAAGAAGCCCCGGCUAACUUCGUGCCAGCAGCCGCGGUAAUACGAAGGGGGCUAGCGUUGCUUGGAAUCACUGGGCGUAAAGCGCACGUAGGCGGGUUGCUAAGUCAGGGGUGAAAUCCUGGAGCUUAACUCCAGAACUGCCUUUGAUACUGGCGACCUUGAGUCCGGGAGAGGUGAGUGGAACUGCGAGUGUAGAGGUGAAAUUCGUAGAUAUUCGCAAGAACACCAGUGGCGAAGGGCGGCUCACUGGGCCCGGUACUGACGCUGAGGUGCGAAAGCGUGGGAGCAAACAGGAUAGACUACCCUGGUAGUCCACGCCGUAAACGAUGGAUGCUAGCCGUUGGCAGGCUUGCCUGUCAGUGGCGCAGCUAACGC